GACAGAGGGUGCAAACGUUGUUCGGAAUUACUGGGCGUAAAGCGCGUGUAGGCUGCUCGGUAAGUCGGAUGUGAAGGCCCUGGGCUCAACCUAGGAAGUGCAUUCGAAACUUCUGAGCUGGAGUGCUGGAGAGGAAGGCGGAAUUCUCGGUGUAGAGGUGAAAUUCGUAGAUAUCGAGAGGAACACCGGUGGCGAAGGCGGCCUUCUGGACAGUAACUGACGCUGAGACGCGAAAGCGUGGGGAGCAAACAGG
rnacentral:rRNA from 1 species